CAGAAAAUAGUAUAUUUAAUAUGUAAAUUUUGGGUAUUUAUGUUGAUUUUCCAAUCUUUUCUGA
rnacentral:tRNA from 1 species